AUACACUCUAAAAACGGCUGGGUUAUUUUUUAACCCAAAAUGCUGGGUUGAGUGUGUUGGGUCAUUUUGUUGGGUUAUUUUAUUUCUUUUUAAACACUUUUGGGUAGUUUCAGUUUACCAGGUGUUGGGUUAAACCUGCUGGGUUGCGUCGCUGGGUUGUUUCAGGUCAGCGCUGGGUUAUUUAACGCGCCUUGAAGAUGUUUAAAUCGCUCCCCAACUGUCAUUUUGGAAGAACAACGGGGCAAAGCCACGGCUUUCAACUGUUUUAAGAAAAGCACAUGGAUACAUUUGUGAGAGAAUAACUCGUCGAGUGCAGUCUUAUUGAUGCGUCUAACGGUUGGAACAAACAUGGAAUUCCUUAACCCAGCAGAGUCCACAAAACCCCAUCCAAUUGUCAUGGCGAUUUAAAAAUGCCAGCAGAUCUCUCAGACAUUGAUCAUAAUCAAUGGACAGGUAAGGAUAUUCUGGACUAUUUUCCAAAUAAAUUGCUAAUUGUAUAUUUAAUUGCAUUUUUCCACAUGUGGACGCAUACAUUGUGACAUAGUCCAAACGCAAUUGAAAAGCAUUUGAAUUACAGAUGCUUUACACAGAAAGCUGUCAAUUUGUGUCAAGCGUGGGACUAUACUAUGGGGCAUGUUUUUAUUGGGAUAUAUUCUGUAGUUUUACCCCUAAUCUCUCACUGUAUGCACUCUGAUGCGCGUCAGCAAAACAACAUUGCAGUUCUACUCUUAUUUACCUAUUUGCAUCUUAUCCUAUAUUUUAUUCCUCAGGUGAAAAGCAUUUGGUUAAUGGUGAAUAUUGACCAAUAGUACCAUGUGGCUCUAACUGUUAGCAGGGGAUAGUAGUUGCAUUUGGGGUAAAAAUGACAGAAUUAUUUAUUGUGUGAGGUGCCAAGAAUAUAGGGAGAUCCGGGUUGCACUGUCUGUUCUUUAACACGCAUCUCUCGGAGCGGCAGCUGCCUUUAGUAGUGCCUUAACCUCCAUUGUUCAAAGCAUUUGGCUCCAUAGUAUGGUACCACCUCUAGCAAAAAUUGACAGUUUUCCAUGUGAGGCUAAAGUAAAUUGCUAAAGUAAUUGCGAUUCCCUUUGAGUUUUGGCAGGUAACGUGCAACACAGUGAAAAAACAGACAUAACAGGUAAUUAGUAACACCUCAUGUACUUAUUCUUAUGUUGCAUCUACGCUAACAUUAGUCUGUUUCUCUCUUGUUCCGAGGUCACCGUAGCCACGAGAUCCAGUCUGUAUCCAGAUCAGAGGGUCACUGCAGUCACCCGGAUCCAGCACUUAUCCAGACCUGAUGGUGGAUCAGCACCUAGAAAGGACCUCUACAUCCCUGAACGACAGCGGAGACCAGGACAACUAGAGCCCCAGAUACAGAUCCCCUGUAAAGACCUUGUCUCAGACGACCACCAGGACAAGACCACAGGAAACAGAUGAUUCUUCUGCACAAUCUGACUUUGCUGCAGUCUGGAAUUUAACUACUGGUUUCGUCUGGUCAGAGGAGAACUGACCCCAACUGAGCCUGGUUUCUCCCAAGGUUUUUUUCUCCAUUCUGUCACCGAUGGAGUUUCGGUUCUUUGGUUUUCCUUAGUUUGGGACAAUUAAUAUCAAGCGAUAUCAUCGACUUGAUCGCACAGAGGGACGAUACAUCACUGAAUCAAUGAUGAACUGACUUUAACUGAAAACUGAGUGUUUACUGUUGUCUCUUUGCAUUAUUACACACUAUUUUCCUAUUUAAUACUGUAAAGCUGCUAUGAUGCAGUAUUUGAUCAAUAUGAGAGGCUUAUUACUCAUAAUAAAUGGAAAAUACAGCUGCAAACGGACUUUGCUUUUCCAUUUGAAAUUUGGCAGUCACUGUGCAUUCAUGAAAACUGAAAAGGUAAUUUUUGUUCGUUGUUUCUGAAAGUGUUUUUGUUCAAGAUUUGCAAUUGUGUUUGGAUUUUGUCACAAUUUGUCACAUGUGGAAAACGCAAUUGAAAACAUAAUUUGCAAUUCCUUUUGAAAAUUGUCCUUCCAUUGACAGGCUCUAAAGCAGAGUACACUGCUCUCAGGUGAUCUUUGAGUAGAUCUUUGAAUUUUCAUUUUUGGGUGAACUAUAUGGGCCCUAUUUUAACGAUCUGAAACGCAAGUGUCAAAGCGCGAAGCGCAAGUAACUUUGUGGGCGGGUCUCGGCGCUGUUGCUAUUUUCCCGGCGGGAUAAAUGGCUCUUGCGCCCGGCGCAAAUCUAAAAUGGGUUGGUCUGAAGUAGCUUCAUUAUUCAUAGGUGUGGUUUGGGCGUAACGUGAAAUAAACCAAUCAGAGCGUCAUCCAACAUUCCCUUUAAAAGCAGGUGCGCAAGUUCCAUUAUGGAUUGCUAUUAUUAUGGCGUAUUUACCAGGCGCACGCCAGGAGCGGUUCACAGCCGAGGAGACUGAUGUUCUUGUAAGAGCAGUGAAAGACAGAGAAGUUGUGUUGUAUGGGGAUGGGAGAAACCCACCCAAAAUAGCGUCGGUUAAACAGGCGUGGGAGGAAAUAGCCACAAUUGUUUCAUCGAUUUUUUUUUCCUGGUUCUUGACGGACAAACCAAUUUGUCAGAUGUCCUUAUAUACAUAUAUGACCUCAAACAGGUCUGAUCCUUAAUUACUACAAUUAGCCUGAAUAAUUUGUAAGCUAGAUUUAUGCCUAUUUUUUCACAUCUUCGUGGCACACCACAAUGAUUUCCGUCAUCUCAUGUGUUAAUAUUUUUUUUUUAAGUGUAACAAUUUAUGAUUUGCAAAAAUAACUGUUGCAUCUGUGUAGAUUACAUGAGCAAAGUGUAUGCGCGUUGUGCACGCUGUACAUUAUGGUCAAGCAUGCGCCCUUAAAAUAGCAGAAUGAACAACGCGCAACGCGCCACUGACUUUAGACUAGGUUUUUUCUGGUCAGUGGCGCAAUUAUUUAAUGGAACAGCAAAAUAGCACCAGGGAUUGUUUGCGCCGGAACACGCCUCCUUUUUUGCGCUGAACCGCCCAGGGAGCGCAAGUUCAUUCACUAGUUUAGCGACGUGCUUCUGUGGAGGGAAAAGCGCGCUUUGCGCGGGUGCAAAAUAGGAAUGACACAUGCGUCGGUGUACAAAGUCAAUUGCGCUGGGUGCAAGAUAGGGCCCUAUAUGUUGAACUACCCUAAGCAGUGCACAUCUACCUACAUAGGAGUCUUUCUAUACUUGAUAUAAAUUUAAGGACAUCUUUAAAUUGUUUUACAUUUAAAUUUAAAGAAUGUUAAUUGUCAAUGUCAUUUCACUGUGUAUUUAAAUAGCUAAACAUGUCAAAAUGUAAUAGUUAAACAGCUAGACACAGGUCAUUUAGAAAUAAUUUUCUUAUUUAUUGCAACUGUAAUUCUGAGAUUUUUAUUUUAUUAAUUUUUUUUUGCAUUUGCUGGAAACAAAAAAAGGGAAAAUUCCAUGUUGUUUGUCAUUGGUACACAUCAGAUGGCAUUAAAAAUAUUUUUUAACAGUCUAAAUAACCUGUAUUCUUCAUUAUUUAUUAAUCCAUGAUUGCUUUGUUAAGCAAAAGUGAAAUUAUGAGAAUAACCCAGCAAGAAUAACCCAGAAUCAUAAAAAUGCAAACCCACAAAUGGUAAAAAUGACUCUAACUUGGGUUUUCUAAAUAACCCAGCAUGCUGGGUUAAAAUGUGUAAACCAGCAUGCUGGGUUACUUUAACCCAGCAUGUGUUCUGUCCAAUAUUUACCCAGUGCUGGGUUGCCAAUUGGGUUAUUUUUAACCCA